AGAGUUUGAUCCUGGCUCAGAACGAACGCUGGCGGCGCGUUUUAAGCAUGCAAGUCGAACGGUAGAGAAACUUCGGUUUCUUGAGAGUGGCGAACGGGUGAGUAACACGUAGAUGAUCUGCCUUGAAGUUGGGGAUAGCCUAUAGAAAUAUGGGAUAAUACCGAAUAAUCUCUUACCACUAUGGUGGUUUGAUGAAAGGGGCUUCUGCCUCGCUUUAAGAUGAGUCUGCGGUCUAUUAGCUAGUUGGUAGGGUAAGAGCCUACCAAGGCGACGAUAGAUAGCCGGCCUGAGAGGGUGACCGGCCACAUUGGGACUGAGACACGGCCCAAACUCCUACGGGAGGCAGCAGCUAAGAAUCUUCCGCAAUGGGCGAAAGCCUGACGGAGCGACGCCGCGUGGACGAAGAAUGCCGAGAGGUUGUAAAGUCCUUUUAUAUGCGAAGAAUAAUGCCUGUAGGUAAUGACAGGCAGAUGACGUUAGCUUAUGAAUAAGCUCCGGCCAAUUACGUGCCAGCAGCCGCGGUAACACGUAAGGAGCGAGCGUUGUUCGGAAUUAUUGGGCGUAAAGGGCAUGUAGGCGGUUACAUAAGUCUGGUGUGAAAUACUACAGCUUAACUGUAGAAACGCACUGGAAACUGUGUGACUUGAAUCUGUGAGGGGUAACUGGAAUUCCUAGUGUAGGGGUGAAAUCUGUUGAUAUUAGGAAGAACACCGAUGGCGAAGGCAAGUUACUGGCACAUGAUUGACGCUGAGAUGCGAAAGCGUAGGGAGCGAACAGGAUUAGAUACCCUGGUAGUCUACGCUGUAAACGAUGUGCACUUGGUGUCGGGGUUUCUAAGCCUCGGUGCCGUAGCUAACGCGUUAAGUGCACCGCCUGGGGAGUAUGCCGGCAACGGUGAAACUCAAAGGAAUUGACGGGGGCCCGCACAAGCGGUGGAGCAUGU
rnacentral:rRNA from 1 species